rnacentral:pre_miRNA from 1 species
GUAACUCAAAUUUGUAUGCAGUUGGAACAGCGCCCCUAGCGGAAAACGUAGGCAAACGUUCCAACUCCAUACAAAUUUGAUUUA